rnacentral:tRNA from 1 species
AGAAUGAGACGAAUAGUCGGGAUAGCUCAG